UUUUUUUCUUCUUUUCUUU
rnacentral:sRNA from 1 species